rnacentral:lncRNA from 1 species
AAUUAAAUUAAUGAUUUGAAAGUUUCUUUCUUCGAAAAAGAAACUUUAAAAUUAUAGAAAAUAUAACUAAUAUUCAAGAUAAAAGAAUCCUUUUAUAUCCGUUUUGCUUUCAAGCAAUUAUUUUUAAUUAAUUUACGAUUUUCAGAUAAUUUUUAAAAAAUUUAAAAAAAAUUCAAAAUAAAAUUCAAUACCCAUAGAUUCUAUGUAUAUACAAAUGUAAGAAAAGUGCCCAACUAUGUAACCACACCACGACUCGUGGUCGAUGAUAUCGUGCAAAAUAUUCGAAUAUAUUCAUUAUUAUUUGCUUCGUUAUUUUUUUUUAUAAUAUUAAGCUUAUAAUUUUUUAUAUAUUGCUUUUCUAUUCACGUGUUCCCGCAACCUAUACGAUUUCACGAUUAAUCUGACGUUUUUCUACGGUCCAUGCGAAAAUUUUUUUCUUUCAAAGUUUACUCUUCAAUUAUUUUUUCUAGAUUUUUAUUCGUAAUCUCUCGCCUGGAUCGUAUAAAAGCAUGUCAUCCAAUGGAAUAAUGAUUUGGACUUGGCCUACCUGGAAGCACAGGAGUUAGUAUUUGUAGAUCCCGCUACCAAACAGCAAUCGACACUGCACCAUUGUAACACGAUAUAUACAAUUAUACUUUUAAUAAUAAGUGAAUUUUUAUUAAAUCGAGACAUUGCAUAAAUGAGAAAGUUCACAAGGAAGUUUCUUAUUCUGAACAGAAGUUAAAAAUAAUCGGAAUAUGUUACAAAAAAGAUUGAAGGAAGAUUUAAAAAAUGAAAAAAAAAAAAAGAAAAAAAAUUAAGAAAUGAAAAUAAAUCCGAAUUAAAAAUUAAAAGGCAAGUUUUUAAAUUAGAUCACAUUACAUUAAAUUAAAUUAGAAUAUUAAAUUUCAUCAUAGAUCUUUAUCUUAACGUUAUAUUAACAUCGAUAGAAAAAUUAUAAUAUAUUAUAAGUUGUAAUCUUUUUAAAUUUUUUGGAAAUAAGUACAAAAGACAAAUCGAUCUAAUAUUAAAGGAAGAUAAAAGAUGAACAAAAAAGGCGAGAGAGCGGAAGAAACGGCAAUGACGUAACAGAAAAAGAGAGAUAAAUCAAAAGAUUAAAAGAAAGAAAGAAUUUAUAUGUGAACCAAAAAAAACAAAUAAAAAAUAAAGAGGAAAGAGAGAGAGAGAGAGAGAGAGAGAGAGGGAGAGAGAGGGAGAUAAAAGUUACGACACAGAAUCUCCAACUUGAUCUGUAGACACCAAAGAUACCUGCGAGCCCAGUGAAAAAAAAUGUAUAGAACCUAACAGGGUAACAGUGGUCGCAAUUUUCACAGACUACCAUAAGGAUAAAAAAAAAAUCAUCACAAUACUGUCUUACAGAAAUGCAAUCUUGGUUCCAUCCUUGAAUACUUGUAAAAUUCAUUCGAUCUAUUAGAGUAUUAUUAUUAUUUAUCUCUUAUAUUAAAAGAGAAAUUUUUUUAUUAGAUUAAAAAAUAAAAAAAUUACGAUUAAAUAAUUAAAUAUUAAAAUGUCUACGAAAAUUACCACCACCAGGCAAGGUAAUAUAAUCAGGGUAAGAGUCCACCAACCCGGCAAGCAAAAAGAUAUGUAUGUCCACAAGGCACAUUUAUUAAACAUGAUCGAUUAAUCAUCGAUAUAAUCUUCGUUAUACAGAAAAAAGUGUGUAUACAAGGAAUAAAAAAAAGAUAUAAUCCUGUUUCGUAUAUAUGUGCCUGUUGUGCGUAUAUCUUGUAUUUUUUUUUUUUUUUUGUCUGUUUCUGUGUAUAUGCAUAUUAUGUAUGUUGUGUACCCUAUAUCCCAGUAUAAAUAAAACGCAAUCGGAAAAAAAAACAAUUUUUCAUAACUGGGAUGGGAUUUGAGGAAAAAAAAAAAAAAA